AGAACAGCUUUGAAAAUUUAUACUUAUAAUUUCAAUUUUAUCUAAUUUGUCCUGUCAAUAGGAAGUCAUUACUCUUUCGACACAAGAAAAGGAAUUUUCUACACCCCUUUCUUGUGUCGAAGACUAGGAAGACGAAUAAUCCCUCCUAGAAUUAUUUGCUCCCCGCUUACUUAUGCUAAUAUCUAGUCCAAUUUUAUGGCAAUUGAAAUCUGUCAAUAGUAACAUAGGCGCACCACUUCAAUUUGGCUAAAAAAAAAAAAAAGAGAAUAAGGGUUUUAAACAUAAAGAUUCCACUGACCUGUAAAAAGUGGGCCUAACCCUUGGAGAUGCGGUAAUACCUCUAACAAAUCAUUCCAUCGAACAUACUCCCCUCUGGAUCCAGGAAUAGCGACAUGUACUAAAUGUCUUGUCCAAGCCAAGGAACUUACGCCAAAGAGUCAUCAUAGAAA
rnacentral:lncRNA from 1 species